AGGGGUAGAGUUCUUCGGAACUUGAGACCGGCGCACGGGUGCGUAACGCGUAUGCAAUCUACCUUAUACAGGGGAAUAGCCCAGAGAAAUUUGGAUUAAUGCCCCAUAGUGUUAUAGAAUCGCAUGGUUUUAUAACUAAAGUUCCAACGGUAUGAGAUGAGCAUGCGUCCCAUUAGUUAGUUGGUAAGGUAGCGGCUUACCAAGACAAUGAUGGGUAGGGGUCCUGAGAGGGAGAUCCCCCACACUGGUACUGAGACACGGACCAGACUCCUACGGGAGGCAGCAGUGAGGAAUAUUGGUCAAUGGGCGCAAGCCUGAACCAGCCAUGCCGCGUGCAGGAAGACGGUCCUAUGGAUUGUAAACUGCUUUUAUACAGGAAGAAACCUCCCUACGUGUAGGGACUUGACGGUACUGUAGGAAUAAGGAUCGGCUAACUCCGUGCCAGCAGCCGCGGUAAUACGGAGGAUCCAAGCGUUAUCCGGAAUCAUUGGGUUUAAAGGGUCCGUAGGCGGCCUUAUAAGUCAGUGGUGAAAUCUCCUAGCUCAACUAGGAAACUGCCAUUGAUACUGUAAGGCUUGAAUUUUUGUGAAGUAACUAGAAUAUGUAGUGUAGCGGUGAAAUGCUUAGAUAUUACAUGGAAUACCAAUUGCGAAGGCAGGUUACUAACAAACGAUUGACGCUGAUGGACGAAAGCGUGGGG
rnacentral:rRNA from 1 species